GGAGAGGUGUCCGAGUGGUUGAUGGUGCCGCUCUCGAAAAGCGGUGUGCGCAAGCACCGCGGGUUCGAAUCCCGCCCUCUCCG
rnacentral:tRNA from 1 species